rnacentral:rRNA from 1 species
GUGCCAGCAGCCGCGGUAAUACGGAGGGUGCGAACGUUAAUCGGAAUUACUGGGCGUAAAGCGCACGUAGGCGGUUCGCUAAGUGGGAUGUGAAAGCCCUGGGCUUAACCUGGGAAUUGCAUUUCAGACUGACGAACUAGAGUACGGUAGAGGGCGGUGGAAUUCCCUGUGUAGCGGUGAAAUGCGUAGAUAUAGGGAGGAACAUCAGUGGCGAAGGCGGCCGCCUGGACUGAUACUGACGCUGAGGUGCGAAAGCGUGGGGAGCAAACAGGAUUAGAUACCCCUGUAGUCC